UACGUAGGGUGCGAGCGUUAAUCGGAAUUACUGGGCGUAAAGCGUGCGCAGGCGGUUCGUUGUGUCCGUCGUGAAAGCCCCGGGCUUAACCUGGGAACUGCGAUGGAAACUAGCGAGCUGGAGUGUGGCAGAGGGGGGUGGAAUUCCGCGUGUAGCAGUGAAAUGCGUAGAGAUGCGGAGGAACACCGAUGGCGAAGGCAGCCCCCUGGGCUAACACUGACGCUGAGACGCGAAAGCGUGGGGAGCGAACAGG
rnacentral:rRNA from 1 species